CGAGUGUUGACCAUCAGUUUGCCAAUAUCAGAGUGGAGGAACAGUAUGGGAGGAAACAUCCACGUGUCCUGAUCCCAGAAGACGUGGCCCAUAUAAUCCUAUUGAAAACAGUCAAGUCGCAGGAUUGAUUAAGGACAGGAAGUGAAGGCAGACAAGAUAAUGUCGAGAAGAGUAUGUUUGGAUGAAUACAAGCACAAAACAGCAAGAUCUUGAGAGAUAUCUGGAUUCCCAACAGGGCCAUGUCAACGAGGACUGUAAGGAAUCGGUUGAAGAUCGCUGGAUACUGAGUCAGGACGCCUAUCAAACAUCCCCUUCUGACACCAGCAAACAAAGCAGCACAUUUAGCAUGGUGUCAGGUAUGCCACAGAUGGAAUCUUGCA